AAGUCGUAACAAGGUUUCCGUAGGUGAACCUGCGGAAGGAUCAUUAUUGAAUAAACUUGGUCGAGCUGUUGCUGGUCCUUCGGGGCAUGGUGCACGCUUGCCACCAAUUUUAACCACCUGUGCACCUCUUGUAGAUUGGAAACGUUUCUCGAGGCAACUCGGAUUGAGGACUGCUGCGCGCAAGCCAGCUGUUCUUGUGUUUCUCAAUCUAUGUUUUCAUAUACUCCUAAUGUAUGUAUCAGAAUGUAUUGUUAGGCCUCAGUGCCUUUAAAUCAAAUACAACUUUCAACAACGGAUCUCUUGGCUCUC
rnacentral:misc_RNA from 1 species